GAUGAACGCUGGCGGCGUGCCUAAUACAUGCAAGUCGUGCGAACUGAUUAGAAGCUUGCUUCUAUGACGUUAGCGGCGGACGGGUGAGUAACACGUGGGCAACCUGCCUGUAAGACUGGGAUAACCUCGGGAAACCGAAGCUAAUACCGGAUAGGAUCUUCUCCUUCAUGGGAGAUGAGUGAAAGAUGGUUUCGGCUAUCACUUACAGAUGGGCCCGCGGUGCAUUAGCUAGUUGGUGAGGUAACGGCUCAACAAGGCAACGAUGCAUAGCCGACCUGGGAGGGUGAUCGGCCAAACUGGGACUGAGACACGGCCCAGACUCCUACGGGAGGCAGCAGUAGGGAAUCUUCCGCGAUGGACGAAAGUCUGACGGAGCAACGCCGCGUGAGUGAUGAAGGCUUUCGGGUCGUAAAACUCUGUUGUUAGGGAAGAACAAGUACGAGAGUAACCGCUCGUACCUUGACGGUACCUAACCAGAAAGCCACGGCUAACUACGUGCCAGCAGCCGCAGUAACAC
rnacentral:rRNA from 1 species